UGCAGACGUCAAACAGCUGCAGUAAAUACCCAAAUAUUAACAGGGCGACAGAUAUCGUGUUAUCGAAUUAUAUCAUAUGUUUAUAAAAUAAAGAUCAUACUUUUCUUAGUUGUGGAAAAGGAAGUUAAAAUGAAAUAAAGGUCUAAUUCCUCUAUACACGUGCUAUUAAUUCGUGGGAAAAGGAACGAUGAUUAAUACUAUUACUGUAACCUCUUAAAAUUAUGUAGAGUGUCACACGUAAUAUUAUGGACUAAGCAGUUCGGUAAAAAUUCUCCUGCGUUGUCAUCUUACCAAGGUUAAACGGUCAACCGUAAACAAAGAUGGCUAGCAAUUCUUCCUUAAAAAAAGACAUUUAAGAAAUACCGUAAAAAUCUUUUAGCCUAGGGAAACUGAAGUACAAUUAAAGAGAAAAUUGCAUUAUUUUGAACGAGUGAUCACCAGAUAUGUACAUCUACAAAGCACAACUAGUUCUAACCCUUGCCGUAAAACUCUUUAAUACUGGACAAAAAACCCUUAAAACUUUAAAAAAGCUAACGAUAAAGUUGCUAUAAAGUAUUGAAAAAAGCACGCACGCGUGCUAUCACUUUGACCGGGAGUGUAUAAAAGUGUAUACUUAUAUAUAUAUCUCGAGUGCUCACGUAUCCUUAGUAAUAGAAGAUGUAUAUUUUUUAGGCAUAACCAGCAACAGCAUGACACAAUUAGUUAGCGAAGGUGCUACACCACUGCUGGGCACUCACGAAGCAUUAUUGGCAGAAAUUAAACGCCUUCGAGAACGUUUAAUUUGUCUAGAGUCUGAAAACGCGGCAAUGAGUGCUAAAUUGAAUCAACAACAAUGGGAAGUAGAAAACCGAUUAGCUGAAAUUGAGAUGCACAUCUGCGGAGCUAGUUCGACUUCGAGUCUGGAAGACAACAACGAGAGAAAUCGGGAAAGUAUCAUUUAACAAGAAACAAUGCCGCGAGAGCGCGGCAAAACUACAAUGCGGCGAAUACGACACUAUCUUGUCGAUGGUACCGACAUUAGGUAUGAUGCAGAUGAUCAGGAAGAAUUUGAAGAAACUAAGAUGUCUGGUAGAUCCAGCGAUACAAAAUCAAUUGGUAGCCUCAGUCAACAUUUCUUUGAAAGUGACGAAGAUGAGAAAUAUUAUGGCACUUGUAAUGGUUAUGUUUCUCAGCCCGGCAGCAAGUCAAAUUUGUUGCUGUGCAGCGAGUGUGAUCAAAAAACUCGUACUUGCACUUACAGACCACAAACACCUGGUUCUUGCUGUAGUAAAUAUAUUGAAGAACGUAUUGAAGACCGGCAACAAGGAACUGCUCGCAUUUAUAAAAGUCCAGUUCGUGUAUCUUCUCCAUGGUCCCUACACCAUGAUCAAGAUUGUAGUGGUCAGUCUUCUUCGCCUAGAUCAUUGUGUCAAGAUUAUCAGGUACAAAGAAGCUGGUCAAAAAAAUAUGAACUUGAACAUGACAAAACAAACUCUGAAGACAAAGAUUUAGAACAGGAUAACAAUAGUCCUCCCUGUGAGCUUUGUCAUGGUAAUAGUCAUGUUGUUCAAUGUGAACACUGUGACUUUUCUAGCGAUGGUGACCUAAUAUGUUUUCAAUGUCAAAGUGAGGAAGGAUCAUCAAACGGUCAGAAUUGUCCUCAUUGCGAGAAAAAUAAAAGAAUAUUGUCAAAUAGGUUAGGAUUACAAAGGGGGGCAACAUCAAAUAAUGAAGGGAAAUACCCAGUAGAUGCUGUGGUAAAAAUUCAAGUUAAUGAUCAUAUGAUUUCUGUAGACUCAGAUGAGACAUCUGAAAGCGAAUUAUCUAAUAAUCAUCAUCAUCAGAGAAGUACAAUGGAACGAUUAGAUACUAUUGUUGAGGCAAAGGGAGAUACUGCCAGUGAAAAUGAUGAGGAAAACGGAGAAUUCUCCCUUACUAUGAAGCUCAUGUUGACUCGUUCAAAUGUUGGUCGAAAGAGACUCCUUUAUGACUCCAGCAAUAGCCUUUCAAUUUACUUAGAUAAUGACAAAAACCAGAGAGGGAGAGAAACAAAGAGAAAGACUGUGCUAUGGUGUAUCAGAUAUACAUAGACUUCUUCCCAUCAUAGUACGAGCAAGUCAACCUAAGUUUCAUGGUGAAGAUAACCUGAAGUGCUGUUGGGGAGCAAUCACUUAUGCGUAAAAAUUGUAAUUUUUUAUUAUUGUAAACAUUUGUGUCAUUUUAUUGUGGGGGAGAUAUAUUCUAGAAUCUAGACUCACCCGUUUAUAUAAUAAGUGAAAGCGAAGACGAAAGCAGAAUAAAUCUUCCGAACUAAAAAAAUACGAAGCGAUUUGUAAUAAAAAUAGUGACUUUUUUAGUGUUUAUAAAUUAUCAAAUAGACUUUAAUAGUUAAAUGCAUUUUUUUAAUGUUCGAUUUCUACUUUAUAAGCAUACCGAACAUGUAUCGCUUAAACAAAUGAGAAUCCGAUUUAUAAAAUAAAAUGUGUAGUCUUUAAGAGUGAAGAAAGAAAAAAGGCAUGGAAAGAGGAAGUUCAUAAAAAGUGUAUUGCAUAGCUAGCUUUGAAUACAAUUCAGAGGCGUAUUUCAUGUGGAGAAAUUGCUUUUGAAGCUAGAUUUACAUCAUCUAUAACAUAUUUAUGAUGAUAGAAAUGAUCAAGAAUGUUUAGAAGAAUAAUCAUUAAGAUGUUUAUUGGUGUUAAAAACAAAAUAAAGUAUAUGCAAAGGUCUUCAUAGAUGUCUCAAAUUAGAGAAGAUGGUUUGUGAAAGUUUGUUAAUAAUCAAAUGUGCGAUAUUCAAUUGACUGGUCGAUUGCCAUUAUAUUAUUCAACUAUAUCUUGUGCAUGAGAAUCUCCUGAUUGCCUAAUGAAUCAUAAGGUGUGAGUUAUAUUCAUUGUCUUGCUAUGUUAAGUUCACAUUUUGGCGCUACAAUGUUAACAAACUAUCCAAUAAAAUACAAGAAACAAGGGGCAAGUUUCUCGAUGAAUAGUUACUCAGGAAUAAAGUUAUAACAUAAUACGGUUGCGAUGUUGAAUAUUAAUAUUUAACGAAUAAUUUUUUGUAAAUAUGAAUACAAAUAUAUAGUGAUAAAUAUACAUAAUAAUAGUAUGAGUAUGUGUAGAAAUUGUGUGAGGAGUUGUGCAAAAAGUGCCAUGAUUUUGGAUCAAGUAUUAUUUCUUUAAAAGAGUAAACAAAUAAGUCACUAUAGGAUGAGAAACAUAGAAAAUUCUGCAUGUUGAUGAAUAUUAAAACAAUGGUUAUUAUUAAGGGCAUAAGGUUUUUGUUUUAAAUUUAUUACAGUUAUUUCCUUUUUUACUGGCAUCUGUUUAACCAAACAUCUAUAGAAUAUUACUUUGUAUAAUCUUAUGAGAUUGUUCGAAUAAAAAAUAAUAAACUUGACAAAGUGAGUGAAUGAAGAUGUGUAUGUGUGAGGAAAAGAAGAAGAGAAAGAGUAGGAAAUGAAGAGCAAAACGCGAAUCAUUGUGUGAGAGUUUACUUCCAAUUAUAGUAGAACUUCGAUAUUUUCCUGCAUUAAGCACUCUUAAGAGUAGGGUAGCAAAAGACAUGUCCUUUCCCUGCAGUUUGUCUAUUUUGUUCCUUUUGAAAACUAUUCUGUGACAUUAAUCUUGCCUGCAAUAGAUGUAUGAACAAAAGUUCCCAAUUGGGAAUUUAUUUACUAGAAAAAUGUCGAAGUUCUAUUCUAUAAAGAAUUGACCAAAAAUUGGCAUUAAAAUAAUAGUGCGACAUAUGUUAAUGAUUGCGAGUGUUAGAAGGGAGCCAUCAAUCGAGCAAAUGGAAAUCAUAAAUGUUCAUGAUAUAAGAAAAAAGUAUCACUGCAAAAUAUGACUGCAAUCGUAUAAAUUAUCAAUUACACCUUUAAUGAUCGUGCGUUACAUACAUCAUCGAUUAUGUGUUCGAACAUAAUUUAUUACAUGUACCUAUGCAUAAAUACACGUGGUUUUUGUUCACUUCUACACGAACAUCCGUUUUUUUUUCAAUGAUAGAAGUUAUUUUUAAAUCUUCGAAACUUAGCUGCGCUGCUCCCACAUAUAAGUAUAACUGUACGAUCUGAUAUAUCAGUAAGAAUACAGAAAUAUAAAUACGCGAUUGAA